UUUUAUUUGAGAGUUUGAUCCUGGCUCAGGAUGAACGCUGGCGGCGUGCCUAACACAUGCAAGUCGAACGAAGCACCUUUUAAGAUUCUUCGGAUGAUUGAUCGGUGAC
rnacentral:rRNA from 1 species